CUGGAAGUCAAGAUUGCCACCUGGCCACUUUGGGCUCCUCCUACCUCUAAGUAAAACAGCUAAGAAGGGAGUUACAGUGUUAGCUGGGGUGAUUGACCUGGAUUAUCAAGAUGAAAUCAAUCUACUAUUUCACAAUAGAGAUGCCUCAAAACACCUGUGCGAUAAAAGCCAAACAUCCCCUAAAAGAAGGACUGCAACAUCAGAAUCCUAAUGUUAGAAAUUAAUCAUUUGAGUCCCUGCUGUUGAGGCUGAUUGCAGAGAAGGAAUAAUAAGAAGG